rnacentral:lncRNA from 1 species
GUCUUCAAAUGAGGGAAAACAUGCUUUAGAUAGGUCUUCUCACAAAUCCUUUUAGUUGCGAAAUAUCAACAUUGGCGCUAUGACCAUAACACCAAUUUUGACAUUUGAUAGCGUCAAUGUUGACUCGAGAUGAUCAGAAAGGGACAUCAAUAUUGACGCUAUGAAUUGUCAAUUUUGGUGCUCUGUGCAUAGCGCCAACUUGAACUGUCUAUAGCGCCAAUCUUGACAACGUGCACCCCUUGUGAUUUCUUCUC